rnacentral:rRNA from 1 species
GAGUUUGAUUCUGGCUCAGAACGAACGCUGGCGGCGUGCUUAAGACAUGCAAGUCGAACGGUAAGGCCCCCUUCGGGGGGUACACGAGUGGCGCACGGGUGAGUAACGCGUGGGUAAUCUACCUUUGGGUCUGGGACAACUCCGGGAAACUGGAGCUAAUACCGGAUAAGACCACGAGGACUUCGGACCUCGCGGAAAAAGAUGGCCUCUCCUUGGAAGCUAUCGCCAAUCGAUGAGCCCGCGUCCCAUUAGCUUGUUGGUGAGGUAACGGCUCACCAAGGCGACGAUGGGUAGCUGGUCUGAGAGGAUGAUCAGCCACACUGGAACUGAGACACGGUCCAGACUCCUACGGGAGGCAGCAGUCGGGAAUUUUGGGCAAUGGGCGAAAGCCUGACCCAGCAACGCCGCGUGAGGGAUGAAGGCCUUCGGGUCGUAAACCUCUGUCGGGAGGGACGAACGGUAGCCAUUCGAAUAGGUUGGCUGCCUGACGGUACCUCCAAAGGAAGCGCCGGCUAACUCCGUGCCAGCAGCCGCGGUAAUACGGAGGGCGCAAGCGUUGUUCGGAA